GAUGAACGCUGGCGGCGUGCCUAAUACAUGCAAGUCGAGCGAACAGACGAGGAGCUUGCUCCUCUGACGUUAGCGGCGGACGGGUGAGUAACACGUGGAUAACCUACCUAUAAGACUGGGAUAACUUCGGGAAACCGGAGCUAAUACCGGAUAAUAUAUUGAACCGCAUGGUUCAAUAGUGAAAGACGGUUUUGCUGUCACUUAUAGAUGGAUCCGCGCCGCAUUAGCUAGUUGGUAAGGUAACGGCUUACCAAGGCAACGAUGCGUAGCCGACCUGAGAGGGUGAUCGGCCACACUGGAACUGGGACACGGUCCAGACUCCUACGGGAGGCAGCAGUAGGGAAUCUUCCGCAAUGGGCGAAAGCCUGACGGAGCAACGCCGCGUGAGUGAUGAAGGUCUUCGGAUCGUAAAACUCUGUUAUUAGGGAAGAACAAAUGUGUAAGUAACUAUGCACGUCUUGACGGUACCUAAUCAGAAAGCCACGGCUAACUACGCG
rnacentral:rRNA from 1 species